ACGGGAGGCAGCAGUGAGGAAUAUUGGUCAAUGGACGGAAGUCUGAACCAGCCAUGCCGCGUGAAGGAAUAAGGCCCUAUGGGUCGUAAACUUCUUUUGUGGUGGAGCAAUAAGGUGCACGCGUGCAUCGAUGAGAGUACAUCACGAAUAAGCAUCGGCUAACUCCGUGCCAGCAGCCGCGGUAAUACGGAGGAUGCAAGCGUUAUCCGGAUUUAUUGGGUUUAAAGGGUGCGUAGGCUGUUCUUCAAGUCAGAGGUGAAAUACCCGAGCCUAACUCGGGAACUGCCUUUGAUACUGGAGGGCUUGAAUACUGUUGCCGUGGGAGGAAUGAGUAGUGUAGCGGUGAAAUGCAUAGAUAUUACUCAGAACACCGAUUGCGAAGGCAUCUCACGAAGCAGCGAUUGACGCUGAGGCACGAAAGCGUGGGGAUCGAACAGGAUUAGAUACCCUGGUA
rnacentral:rRNA from 1 species